UGGGGAAUAUUGGGCAAUGGGGGAAACCCUGACCCAGCAACGCCGCGUGAAGGAAGAAGGUCUUCGGAUCGUAAACUUCUGUUCUUGGUGAAGAGAAGAAGACGGUAGCCAAGGAGGAAGCCCCGGCUAACUACGUGCCAGCAGCCGCGGUAAUACGUAGGGGGCAAGCGUUGUCCGGAAUGAUUGGGCGUAAAGGGCGCGUAGGCGGCAUGUUAAGUCUGGAGUGAAAGUCCUGCCUUCAAGGUGGGAAUUGCUUUGGAUACUGAUGGGCUUGAGUGCAGGAGAGGUAAGUGGAAUUCCCAGUGUAGCGGUGAAAUGCGUAGAGAUUGGGAGGAACACCAGUGGCGAAGGCGACUUACUGGACUGUAACUGACGCUGAGGCGCGAAAGUGUGGGGAGCAAACAGG
rnacentral:rRNA from 2 species